GGGACUAUUUCUAUGAACACAUGGUCUAUAAAAACUGGAAAUCAGGCGAACCUAACAACCAGGGAGGACACGAACACUGUGUGGAGUACGGACGGAGCUACAACUACCAGUGGAACGACAUCCCGUGUGACAGAAACUACCAGUCGAUCUGUGAAUUUGAGAAGAUGACAUGAAUAACCGGCCCAUCAAAGACUAUUAAAUCAAUGUAGGCCUAGAUUCUCA